rnacentral:rRNA from 1 species
UAAUACCAGCUCCCCGAGUGGUCGGGACGGUUAUUGGGCCUAAAGCAUCCGUAGCCGGUUCUGUAGGUCUUAUGUUAAAAUCAAUUGCUUAACAAUUGAACUGCAUGAGAUACCACAAAACUAGGAGGCGGGAGAGGUGGACGGUAUUCCACGGGUAGGGGUAAAAUCCUCUGAACCGUGGAGGACCACCAGUAGCGAAGGCGGUCCACCAGAACGCGCUCGACGGUGAGGGAUGAAAGCUGGGGUAGCGAACCGGAUUAGAUACCCGGGUAGUCCCAGCUGUAAACGAUGCAAGCUAGGUGAUGCAUUAGCCACGUGUUAAUGCAGUGCCGCAGGGAAGCCGUUAAGCUUGCCGCCUGGGGAGUACGGUCGCAAGGCUG